GAUCCUAGGAAUCUCCUUGAUGCAUUAAACAAGGUUAAAGAGCAGAGUGAAGAGCUUGCGCACACUUUUGUGGACCAGAUUGACUCUGAGAAUAGCUGCCUAGGCUAUAUGAUUUCAGGGUCUAAAGCUAAUAGUGCUUCAAUUCAUCAAAGUGCUACUAUAAAUAGUAGUAGAGUUGUCCAUGCCCAAGAGUUUGAUGUUUCAGUAACAAUGCUGAAUAUUGCAAUCAUUCUCUACCAUAUCCAUGAGAAUGCACAGUCAUUAUCUGUUCGCAAAAAGCUGUUCCAGAAUAUCGAGU